rnacentral:rRNA from 1 species
AUCAACGCUGGCGGCGCACUUAACUACAUGCAAGUCGCACGGAGAAAGGGGGGCAACCCUGAGUACAGUGGCGUACGGGUGAGUAACACGUGGAUGAUCUACCUCUUAGUGGGGAAUAACCCUGGGAAACCGGGGCUAAUACCGCAUAAGCUCUAGCGAGGAAAGCAGCAAUGCGCUGAGAGAGGAGUCCGCGGCCGAUUAGCUAGUUGGGAGGGUAAAAGCCUACCAAGGCAGAGAUCGGUAGCCGGCCUGAGAGGGCACACGGCCACACUGGCACUGAAACACGGGCCAGACUCCUACGGGAGGGCAGCAGUGGGGAAUCUUGCACAAUGGGGGAAACCCUGAUGCAGCGACGCCGCGUGAGCGAUGAAGCCCUUCGGGGUGUAAGGCUCUUCGGCAGGGAAGAUGAUGACGGUACCUGCAGAAGCAGCUGCGGCCAACUACGUGCCAGCAGCCGCGGUAAUACGUAGGCAGCGAGCGUUGUUCGGAGUUACUGGGCGUAAAGGGUGUGUAGGCGGUUGUUUAAGUUUGGUGUGAAAUCUCCCGGCUCAACUGGGAGGGUGCGCCCGAAUACUGAAUGACUUGGAGUGCGGGAGAGGAGAGUGGAAUUCCUGGGUGUAGCGGUGAAAUGCGUAGAUAUCAGGAGGAACACCGGUGGUGUAGACGGCUCUCUGGACCGUAACUGACGCUGAGACACGAAAGCGUGGGUAGCAAACAGGAUUAGAUACCCUGGUAGUCCACGCCCUAAACGAUGCAUAUUUGGUGUGGGCAGUUCAUUCUGUCCGUGCCGGAGCUAACGCGUUAAAUAUGCCGCCUGGGGAGUACAGUCGCAAGGCUGAAACUCAAAGGAAUUGACGGGGGCCCACACAAGCGGUGGAGCAUGUGGUUCAAUUCGACGCAACGCGAAGAACCUUACCUGGGCUCGAAGCGCAGGGGACCGGGGUGGAAACAUCCCUUUCCGCAAGGACUCCUGCGGAGGUGCUGCAUGGCUGUCGUCAGCUCGUGUCGUGAGAUGUUGGGUUAAGUCCCGCAACGAGCGCAACCCUUAUCGUCAGUUGCCAGCGGGUCAAGCUGGGCACUCUAGCGAAACCGCCCCGGAUAACGGGGAGGAAGGUGGGGAUGACGUCAAGUCCUCAUGGCCUUUAUGUCCAGGGCUACACACGUGCUACAAUGGUCGGUACAAACCGUCGCAAAUCCGCGAGGUGAGCUAAUCGGAAAAAGCCGGCCUCAGUUCGGAUUGGAGUCUGCAACUCGACUCCAUGAAGCUGGAAUCGCUAGUAAUCGCAGAUCAGAACGCUGCGGUGAAUACGUUCCCGGGCCUUGUACACACCGCCCGUCACAUCACGAAAGCGGAUUGUACUAGAAGUCUGCAGGCUGACCCGCAAGGGGGGCAGCGGCCCAAGGUAUGAUCCAUGAUUGGGGUG